rnacentral:rRNA from 1 species
AUUGAACGCUGGCGGCAGGCUUAACACAUGCAAGUCGAGCGGGGUGAUGGUGCUUGCACUAUCACUUAGCGGCGGACGGGUGAGUAAUGCUUAGGAAUCUGCCUAUUAGUGGGGGGCAACAUUUCGAAAGGAAUGCUAAUACCGCAUACGUCCUACGGGAGAAAGCAGGGGAUCUUCGGACCUUGCGCUAAUAGAUGAGCCUAAGUCGGACUAGCUAGUUGGUGGGGUAAAGGCCUACCAAGGCGACGAUCUGUAGCGGGUCUGAGAGGAUGAUCCGCCACACUGGGACUGAGACACGGCCCAGACUCCUACGGGAGGCAGCAGUGGGGAAUAUCGGACAAUGGGGGGAACCCUGAUCCAGCCAUGCCGCGUGUGUGAAGAAGGCCUUAUGGUUGUAAAGCACUUUAAGCGAGGAGGAGGCUCUUUUGGUUAAUACCCAAGAUGAGUGGACGUUACUCGCAGAAUAAGCACCGGCUAACUCUGUGCCAGCCGCCGCCGUAA